rnacentral:rRNA from 1 species
AGAACGCUCUCGGCAGGCCUAACACAUGCAAGUCGAGGGGUUAACGGUGUCUUCGGACAGGGCGACGACCGGCGCACGGGUGAGUAUCUCGUAUGUAAUCUAUCUUUAACUGGAGAAUAGCCCGAAGAAAUUCGGAUUAAUACUCCAUAAUACUAUGAACUGGCAUCUUUUUAUAGUUAAAGCUCCGGCGGUUAAAGAUGGGCAUGCGUAACAUUAGUUUGUUGGUGAGGUAACGGCUCACCAAGACUACGAUGUUUAGGGGGUCUGAGAGGAUGGUCCCCCAACCAUGGUACUGAGACACGGACCAGACUCCUACGGGAGGCAGCAGUGAGGAAUAUUGGUCAAUGGGCGCAAGCCUGAACCAGCCAUGCCGCGUGAAGGAUGACAGCGCUAUGCGUUGUAAACUUCUUUUGUACAGGAAGAAACACUUCUACGUGUAGAAGCUUGACGGUACUGUACGAAUAAGCAUCGGCUAACUCCGUGCCAGCAGCCGCGGUAAUACGGAGGAUGCAAGCGUUAUCCGGAUUUAUUGGGUUUAAAGGGUACGUAGGCGGAAAAUUAAGUCAGUAGUGAAAUCCUGCAGCUUAACUGUAGAACUGUUAUUGAUACUGGUUUUCUUAGAAUAUAGUUGAGGUAGCGGAAUGUGUAAUGUAGCGGUGAAAUGCUUAGAUAUUACACAGAACACCGAUUGCGAAGGCCGCUUACUAAGCUAUGAUUGACGCUGAGGUCCCGAAAGCGUGGGGAGCGAACAGGAUUAGAUACCAUGGUAGUCCACGCCGUAAACGAUGAUCACUCGUUGUUGGCAAUACAUCGUCAGCGACUUAACGAAAGCAUUAAGUGAUCCACCUGGGGAGUACGCUCGCAAAGAUUGAAACUCAAAGGGAUUGGCGGGGGCCCGCACAAGCGGAGGACAUGUGGUUUAAUUCAUGAAUACGCGAAGGAACUUACCUGGGGCUUAAAAUGGUAAAACGAACGGGAUUCCGGGAAAAACUGAAUUCCUUUUCUUUAAGAAGGAACGGCUUUUGGCAAAGUGGUGGCCUGGCAAUGGGGCUGGUUCCGGUUCAAGCUCCGCUGGCCCGUGGAAGAGGUGUUCGGGGUUAAAGUUUCAACCAUAAACGAGCGCAAACCUCUCAAUCAUUAAGUUGCCCACGGAUAAUGCCGGGGACUCUAAUGAAACUGCCACCGUAAGGUGAGAGGAAGGUGGGGAUGGACGUCAAAUCAGCACGGCCCUUAUGUCCAGGGCUACACACGUGUUACAAUGGCCGAUACAGAGGGCAGCUACCUGGUGACAGGAUGCAAAUCUCUAAAGUCGGUCCAAGUUCGGAUCGAAGUCUGCAACUCGACUUCGUGAAGCUGGAAUCGCUAGUAAUCGUAUAUCAGCAAUGAUACCGGUGAAUACGUUCCCGGGCCUUGUACACACCGCCCGUCAAGCCAUGGAAGCUGGGGGUGCCUGAAGUUCGUAACCGCAAGGAGCGACCUAAGGUAAAACUAGUGACUGGGGCUAAGUCGUAACAAGGUAACCAAAA